GCUCGCACUUGUCUCUCUUCUGUAUGUAUGUGUGAUUGUUUCCUGCCGCUCGCUGCUCUCUUAAAUCCUCUUAUGCGCAGGCAUGCAUGUUGUGUCCAUGCACUGGCAUCCUUCACAGUCGUCCCCGGUAGCCUGAGCAGUGCUGGAUAAUCCUGCUUUGUUUGGGUGCAUGUCUGGCUUUAGGGAACAGUGCUCAUCCUGCCAGCCUCUCCCUGCUGCUGAAGCUGCUGUUGGACCCGUGUGUGUGUGUGAUAGAGAGUGAG